GACGAAGGAUGCAAGCGUUAUCCGGAUUCAUUGGGUUUAAAGGGAGCGUAGGCGGAUUGGUAAGUCAGUGGUGAAAUCCUAUCGCUUAACGAUAGAACUGCCAUUGAUACUGCUGAUCUAGAGUACAGUUGCCGUUGGCGGAAUAUGACAUGUAGUGGUGAAAUACUUAGAUAUGUCAUAGAACACCGAUUGCGAGGGCAGCUAACGAAGCUGUAACUGACGCUGAGGCUCGAAAGUGCGGGGAUCAAACAGG
rnacentral:rRNA from 1 species